rnacentral:lncRNA from 1 species
ACCAACCAACCAAACCCAAGCAAGCCGCUUCCCCUUCGGAUCACGCCGGGCAUGCGCCGCGCCACCGCCGCCGCCGCAGCAGCAGCAGCCUGAGGGGGACGAGGAGGAGGGGGAGGGAUGGAGGCGGGCGGCGGGAGCGCGUCCUCGCUGCCGCCGUUCCUGAGCAAGACGUACGAGAUGGUGGACGACCCGGCCACGGACGCCGUGGUGGCGUGGACGCCGCCGGGGACCAGCUUCGUCGUCGCCAACCAGGCCGAGUUCUGCAGGGAUCUGCUCCC